AUGUGGCCUUAUCAACGUGAAUGACCACAUCUACUCACAGUGCAAGUGUUUUGUCUGUGUGUGUAUAAAUGCAUUGGCUAAAUGCGAAUUGAAACGGUCAGAUGAGCCCAUUGAACAGUCCUGGUUGGAAACUCAGUAAGAGCAGAAAACCUCUGUUGAAGCACUGCAAAGGAGAGAGAGCAGUCUUUCCUCCUGUGUUCUCCUGCACUACAGACCUCGAGAGGGCCGCACAUUCCACAAACGAUCUGAACGGUGCACCGAUGUUACUGGUCCAAAAAGCCACCGGCUCCUAGCAGAGAUAGAAAAACACACAAGGGCUGUAGAAGUUUGGAAACCUCAUUGUGGAUUCCGUUUGGCAGCAUUUCUGGGGAGACAUGCCAUGCGAUGACUCCAAACCAGAAGAACGAUUGCGUCAUACCUUUGUUCACGCCACCCAGUCUAGACAUGAGAGACUCACCCCUUUGAGGCCCUUCAUGGCCGACAUGUCAACGAAGGAGACGGCAGCGAAGUCCAGGACGAGG